AAUACCGAUGGCGAAGGCAGCCAUCUGGCCUAAUACUGACGCUGAGGUACGAAAGCAUGGGGAGCAAACAGGAUUAGAUACCCUGGUAGUCCAUGCCGUAAACGAUGUCUACUAGCCGUUGGGGCCUUUGAGGCUUUAGUGGCGCAGCUAACGCGAUAAGUAGACCGCCUGGGGAGUACGGUCGCAAGACUAAAACUCAAAUGAAUUGACGGGGGCCCGCACAAGCGGUGGAGCAUGUGGUUUAAUUCGAUGCAACGCGAAGAACCUUACCUGGUCUUGACAUAGUAAGAACUUUCCAGAGAUGGAUUGGUGCCUUCGGGAACUUACAUACAGGUGCUGCAUGGCUGUCGUCAGCUCGUGUCGUGAGAUGUUGGGUUAAGUCCCGCAACGAGCGCAACCCUUUUCCUUAUUUGCCAGCACUUCGGGUGGGAACUUUAAGGAUACUGCCAGUGACAAACUGGAGGAAGGCGGGGACGACGUCAAGUCAUCAUGGCCCUUACGACCAGGGCUACACACGUGCUACAAUGGUCGGUACAAAGGGUUGCUACCUAGCGAUAGGAUGCUAAUCUCAAAAAGCCGAUCGUAGUCCGGAUUGGAGUCUGCA
rnacentral:rRNA from 4 species